GGGGGCUAUCUGCUCCUGGAACUAGACAUAUAUGGUCUUAAGUGUCGUUUUGAGCAUUAAGCAUUGCAUGAUUCCAAGUUAGCCAAUUUUAAUAUAGCAGAGCUACAUAAGCCAUCUACAAGCAUGGAAAACAAGGUGCAUUCCUUCACACAAGCAAGCUCCUCCAGGAGCUCGUGGCAAACUCACAUGGGAAGGGGAGUUUGUCACACUGACCCUUCCUGCUCAUUUCUGUUCCUUUCAGCUCAUUGCUGUCCCCUUUUACUCCUUGAUGUCCCUUCCUGCUCAUUUCUGUUCCUUCUCCUUUCUGCUCCUUUACCUUUGUGCUCCUUCUGUUCCUUCCUGCCCUUUCCAGCUCCUUGCUGCCCUUUCCAGCUCCUUGC